CACUAAGUGUCAAAUAACGUGUUAUUUCAAAAUUUUAACCUAUUGAAAUUUGUUUGACAACAAAGGCAAAGACAAAGCUUUCCAAAUCAUUUUGAAAUCCAAACAACCUGUUAUUUUGAAAUUUCAACCUGAUGAAAUUUUACUUCCUUAUAGAAAAUGAAUCUUUUCAAAAUUUUAAAGAUUCCAUUGAGCUUGGAUCAACUUAAGGAGGGAAUUAACAAGUUUCAAACAACUAGACACACACAACAACAACAAGAUCUUCAAGCUUUCCACUUGGAUUUGGAGACAUCAAAGCAUCUUGUUUAACAAUCUCCCCAUAUUUCAUGAAGACAAAUCCUUGGUUUGCUUGUGAUGUUCUGUUUGAAUUUGUUAGUACCUGCAAAACAUAAUUUGUGCAUGUAUCAGAAGUAAUCAUAUCCAUAUAUCAUUAGCACCACAAAACUAGCUUUCACUAGGUGAUUCUCAUAAGGAAAACGAACAAAAUCAGUGUGAAAACUAGUGAAAACAAGGUGCAAAAUCAUAGUUAUGCAGUGAUCCUGUCGUCAACUCAAGCGUGGAGGAAUUGCUUUGUCGCUUCCUUACCCCGCCUAUGCAACUGUGCUAUCCGCAAGAAUGCUCUUAGAACCUUCUCCAGGAACUUCAAACGCAACCUGCAAAACACACAGACGGCGCCUCUAGCGGCCGUUUGCACUCCGACGCUCAAGUUAGGUCACAGAACCACCAACAAAAAUGUCACUGAAUCUCUCUCUGAUUCUCUUUUUUCUCUCUCUGUGUGUCUGUGCCUAACAGAAUUCUGUUACGCUAUCCUCUGCGUGUGUCAGAAUUCUGUUACGCUAUUGUGCGAAAACGUACCACAAUGAGUAAAAACGUGGGUGUGUGUGUGUUUUCUGUACCUUUCACGACGCGGAGUGCACCUUUAUCUUGGUCGCGCCUCUCCCAGAUGGUGACACGUGGAGGCAUGCAACUCACAUCUAACCGUACACGUGCCACUACCUGAAGGGCUCUAGCGCAUCUCUUUGUGUGCCUAAGUUAUUCCUUUGCGGAGUAACUUAGCGCGUUUCUUCCAUCUGGGUGAAUCGCACACUCUCAGGAGAACGCCAGGUGUGGCUGGGCUAGGCACACUCACCAAGCAUUGCUCUCUGCAUAAACGAUUUCCCCUUCACGAUGUCAUGCACGUAAUGGGUUAAGAGAGUCACCAAUCACUGACCGGUUUACUAACUCCCUCAGGCCACUCUCGUGCACGAUUCUACCGGCGAGCAACUCCUCUUUCUCUGAGAUAUGAUCAUGCGAGGUCCAUGCGUAACGCUCUCGCUGGGAAUCUCAGUCCCAGUUUAACUGCGUGUAACACGAAACCCCGAUGACCAUGCACCCGAUGACAGAUCGGUGCUCUAUUGCUUCUCGCGUUCUCCCCCCAGGUGUUUAUCUUAGAACUGAUCUGUCGGUGGCCACUCGGUUACUGACCACCGAUCACCGUUCUGGGUGAUCUCCUCCCUGAUUUCUCUGCCACC
rnacentral:lncRNA from 1 species